GACGGGCCCCGCACAAGCAGCGGAGCGUGUGGUUUAAUUCGAUGUUACACGAAGAACCUUACCAGGGUUUGACAUGCAAGUGGUAGGAAGCCGAAAGGUGACCGACCCUUCGGGGAGCUUGCACAGGUGCUGCAUGGCUGUCGUCAGCUCGUGUCGUGAGAUGUUCGGUUAAGUCCGCUAACGAGCGCAACCCUCGUCGUAUGUUAUAUGUGUCAUACGAGACUGCCGGUAAAAGCCGGAGGAAGGUGAGGAUGAUGUCAAGUCAGCAUGACCUUUAUAUCCAGGGCUACACACACGCUACAAUGGUCUGUACAAUGGGUAGCCAAGCCGCGAGGCGGAGCCAAUCCUGAAAGCAGGCCUCAGUUCAGAUUGCAGUCUGCAACUCGACUGCAUGAAGCCGGAGUUGCUAGUAACCGCAGGUCAGCAAUACUGCGGUGAAUACGUUCCCGGGUCUU
rnacentral:rRNA from 1 species